UUUUAAAUCGAGGCGUUUGCCGAUAUUAUUAUUUCGGCAUUUUCUUCAGACGUUUAUACCGGUUAAUUGCCCCGGAUAGUCAAUUUACCACAUUCAUCGAGUUGAAUCUAAGAUUAAAUACUGAAUACCACCACAUACAGUGUUCUUUUUCGACACGAUCGGUCCGCUAUCUGUUUCCAGAACAGAAAAGUAAAUUGACCUACACUUUGGUCUUUGCUAGUAGCAGAUGCAGAUGGAGAUGACUGGUACUGGACAUCGAACUAAAUCCACGUUCAAAAUUGGUCGCACUAAAGUCUCAUCUGUAUUUCAACCGGCUUAAGAAAGUUUAUUGUAUGUCAACACGGCAUGUACGUCCGUUUUCUGAAAAAGGAAGGGCUCUUUUUGAAGAGAUAAUUGAUGACUUUAGGAAGCGCUGUUCUGCUUCAUGGCGCAAAGUGACUGAAAGUUUGUGCAUAGUAAGUAGUUUAACUUAUGAGAGUCUUGUUUGUGAAAUCAACCUGAUUGAACAGCAAUUACCUAUGAAAGUUACAUAAAAGUUAAAGACGAAUUUGAAAUGAACUUAAAAAAUGUGAAAAGUGAAGCAAGUCUUAAAGAAUUAUCGGCUCUCACUACAGACGUGUCGCUACAGGAAAAAGCAAAAUUACACGCGCUGGAAAAGAUUGACCAAAAUAAACAAUCAAUAUUUAAAAAAGUCAUGUCCAGCAUGAAGCCAAACUCUGUCCAUGAUGGUGUGAAGACACUAGCCGUACGAGUGAACUCAUCGCAUUGAAACAAGCAGAAGCCGAAUCUGCCAAGAUAAAAAUGAAAUAUACUCAACAAGAAGCAGCUCUUUUGAAACAAAAGGCAGAAUCAGAAGCGAAUCUUCAAGUACUUUCUCAGCAAAAAGCUUUUGAAGCCGACGCUGCAGAAGUAAAGGUACUACAAGAGCAUGAUGUCGAAGGCUCUGAUGGGUCAGAAAGUCAUGUUGCACCAGACAUUAAAUUCAAAUUGCAAACUUUGCCUGUUCUAAAACCUGACAAUCUAGUUCAAGAAUUCAUCAAGAAAUCCACAAACAAUCCAACAGUAUCUGACACUUAUAUGGGAGAAAAUCUGUGCAAAUUUCUCCUUAAAGACUAGGCUCUCUCGCGACUGACUAUAUUUAGUGACAAAACUGACUUUUUAUCCCUGGAAAUGUUUGUAUUAAUAUGUAAAAUAAUGACAAUUUAUAAUAGCUGUAUUAAUACAAGUAUCAAAAAUGUUGAUUUUUAAUGCAAAAAAUGACUUUGUUUGUGAAAAUGUUCAUUUUAAUACGAACAAAGAUGACAGUUAAUAAUAGUUCGUAUUAAUACGAAAUAUAAAAAAUGUUGAUUGUUAAUGCAAAAAAAAGACCUUUUCCCUGAAAAUGUUCGUAUAAAUACCAGCAAUGAUGACAUCUAUGAAUUUAUCAAGUAUUUCUGAAAAAAAAUUAUAGUGCGUAAAUUUACGAAGUAUGGUUAUGUUAAGAAUCUAUGAAUUAAACAAGUAUUUCUGUUUUUUUUUAAGUGCGUAAAUUUACGAAGUCUGGUUUUGUUAAGAAUCUAUGAGUUCACCAAGUAUUUCUGAAAUUGUUUAAUAAUGCGUAAAUUUAGGAAGUCUGGUUUUGCUAUGAAUUUGCCAAGUACCGAGUAUUUCUGAAAAUAUAUAAUAGUGUGUAAAUGUACGACGUAUGUUAAGAAUAUAUGAACUGACCAAGUACAUGACUUUGUAUUUCUCAAAAUUGUUAAUGGAGCAUUAAUUUACGAAAUAUGUUUUUGUUGAGAAUAUAUGAAUUGACAAAGAACGGGGUAUUUCUGAAAAAAUAUAAUAGUGCGUAAAUUUACGAAGUAUGGUUUAAA